rnacentral:rRNA from 1 species
AAUGAACGUUGGCGGCGUGGAUUAGGCAUGCAAGUCGAGCGCGAACCCCGCAAGGGGUGAAAGCGGCGAAAGGGAGAGUAACGCGUGGGUAUUUACCCUCGGGACUGGGAUAGCUGCGGGAAACUGCAGGUAAUACCUGAUGACGUCCCCGGACCAAAGGUGUGAUUCCGCCUGAGGAUAAGCCCGCGUCCUAUUAGCUAGUUAGUGAGGUAAUGGCUCACCAAGGCAAUGAUGGGUACUGGGUGUGAGAGCACGACCCAGCUCACUGGGACUGAGACACUGCCCAGACACCUACGGGUGGCUGCAGUCGAGAAUCUUCGGCAAUGGGCGCAAGCCUGAACGAGCGACGCCGCGUGUGGGAUGAAGGCCUUCGGGUUGUAAACCGCUGUCAGAGGGGAGGAAUGGGCGGAGGGUAAUCUCUUCGUUUUGACCUAUCCUCAGAGGAAGUACGGGCUAAGUUCGUGCCAGCCGCCGCCGUAA